rnacentral:rRNA from 1 species
GACGAACGCUGGCGGCGUGCUUAACACAUGCAAGUCGAACGGAAAGGCCCUGCUUUUGUGGGUUUCUCGAGUGGCGAACGGGUGAGUAACACGUGAGUAACCUGCCCUUGACUUUGGGAGAACUUCAGGAAACUGGGGCUAAUACCGGAUAGGAUCUCCUGCUGCAUGUUGUGGGUUGGAAAGUUUCGGCUGUUCUGGAUCGACUCGCUUCUUAUCAGCUGGUUUGUGGGGUAGGUGCUUACCAAGGCUUCGACGGGUAGGCGGCAUGAGAGGGUUAACGGGGACCUUGGGCCUGAGAUACGGACCAGAAUCGUACGGGCGGCAGCGGUGGGGAAUAUUGCGCAAUGGGCGGACGCGUGAUGCAGAAACGCCGGGUGCGGGAUGACGGGCUUCGGGUUGUAAACCGCUUUGGCAUGUGACGAAGACUGAGUGACGGUAAUGGGUAAGGAAGCCCCGGCUAACUACGUG